CCGUGGGCCUGGGCGGUGGAGAAGGUGCAGGAGCUCUGCAAGCCUGGCUCCCAGCGCAGAGGACCGGAUGGAGGAAGGCUGAGGGCCCGGCACUCCGGCCACAGGUGAGGCUUCAGCAGGAAAGCCUGCGCCCAAUGGCAACUUUCUCUCUCGGUGCUCAACCUCGGCUCUUUGCUGGCUUCCACUUUCUCCUCUAGAACAAUAGGGGAGAAAAACUACCCCCAAACGAUCACACGGGCACUUAGCUUUGCUUCUUGGGGGGGGGGGUGAAAGUUGAGGGCUCAGUGUGCGAGUUUGGAAAGUGGGGCCAGAUUCACCCCGGAAGGAGGCUAAGAAUGGAAAGUGAGCCCCUGAGGCAGGCGGCGCGGCAGGAGGCACCGCCCCCCGCGGCUGCUCCGGGACCAGGUGUGCGCAGGAAGGCGCGUCCCGGCGGCUGCGCAUCGCCUGUCGUGGCUCAGCUCCGGAGGACUGAGGACGCCCCUCUGGCUCACGCCCGGGACCCGCGAGGACACCGUGACCCACCUUGGUGCCUGGACACACAAGCACCACCCUAGCCCUUAGGCAGCCGGACGGCCCCUCUCCUGAAUGCCCAAGCCGGACCCACGCCCACCUCCACAGCACAACUCCCUCUUCCUCCUCCCCAGACUCCGAAGGGGUCUCCCCUAAGGCCAAGUCCAGGCUCAAGUCUGCCUCCUUCCUCCACUUCUCCCCUGAAUGUCUUCAACUGAGGCUUCAAGUAAGGUGUUUCUCCCUCAGAAGACCAGACCGUGGGCAGCAGAAGGGAGGAGCAACAGUCUGUCGUGUUCACUGCCCUGUGGCCAGCACCUAGCACAGGGCCUGGCAUACAGGAAGUGCUUAUUGAAGGUCUAGGGCCUGAAUGAAGGAACGGACCCCUCCAUCUUUCAAAUGAUGCAAAAAGAAGAGAAAGUUCUCCAAGUAACAGCUCCCAGGUUACACCCAGUUGUGUUCACAAGCACCCAGCAGAGAUGUUGAUAGAAAGAAGCCCUGGAGCUGGUCAGUGAAAUUAUCGCCCUAGGCGAUGUGAGAUCCUGGCUUCCUGGGAAUGUUCGGAAUCUUGGACGUCAAUAUCCUGGUCCCGCCACCUUUGGAUCUGAGCAUCCAGAGAAACUGGGUCAGAAUACUAUAGCGCCUAGAGUAUUUCUUACAACUAUGAAUCUACAAUUGUCUCAAAAUUAAAAGCUGAAUUUUUAAAACAUG